UAACGGUACCACUUGAAUAAGCUCCGGCUAACUACGUGCCAGCAGCCGCGGUAAUACGUAGGGAGCAAGCGUUAUCCGGAUUUACUGGGUGUAAAGGGCGUGUAGGCGGGACUGCAAGUCAGAUGUGAAAGCACGGGGCUCAACUCCGUGUCUGCAUUUGAAACUGUAGUUCUUGAGUGCUGGAGAGGCUAACGGAAUUCCUAGUGUAGCGGUGAAAUGCGUAGAUAUUAGGAGGAACACCAGUGGCGAAGGCGGUUAGCUGGACAGUAACUGACGCUGAGGCGCGAAAGCGUGGGUAGCAAACAGGAUUAGAUACCCUG
rnacentral:rRNA from 1 species